rnacentral:rRNA from 1 species
CAGCCCCUCGAGUGGUGGGGAUGAUUAUUUGGCCUAAAGCGUCCGUAGCCGGCCGGGUAAGUUUCCCGUUAAAUCCAGCGUCUCAAGCGUUGGACUGCGGGAAAUACUGCCUGGCUAGAGAGUGGGAGAGGUCAGCGGUAUUCUGGGGGUAGGGGCGAAAUCCUUUGAUCCCCGGAGGACCACCAGUGGCGAAGGCUGCUGACUAGAACACGUCUGACGGUCAGGGACGAAAGCUGGGGUAGCGAACCGGAUUAGAUACCCGAGUAGUC